UACGAAGGGGGCUAGCGUUGCUCGGAAUUAUUGGGCGUAAAGAGCUCGUAGGCGGUUUGUCGCGUCUGCUGUGAAAACCCGAGGCUCAACCUCGGGCCUGCAGUGGGUACGGGCAGACUAGAGUGCGGUAGGGGGAGAUUGGAAUUCCUGGUGUAGCGGUGGAAUGCGCAGAUAUCAGGAGGAACACCAAUGGCGAAGGCAGAUCUCUGGGCCGUAACUGACGCUGAGGAGCGAAAGCAUGGGGAGCGAACAGG
rnacentral:rRNA from 1 species